GAUGAACGCUGGCGGCGUGCCUAAUACAUGCAAGUCGAGCGAACGGACGAGAAGCUUGCUUCUCUGAUGUUAGCGGCGGACGGGUGAGUAACACGUGGAUAACCUACCUAUCAGACUGGUAUAACUUCGGGAAACCGGAGCUAAUACCGGAUAAUAUCUUGCUCCGCAUGGUUCAAAAGUGAAAGACGGUCUUUCUGUCUCUUAUAGAUGUAUCCGCGCUGCAUUAGCUAGUUGGUAAGGUAACGGCUUACCAAGGCAACGAUGCAUAGCCGACCUGAGAGGGUGAUCGGCCACACGGGAACUGAGACACGGUCCAGAGGACUAAGGGAGGCAGCAGUAGGGAAUCUUCCGCAAUGGGCGAAAGCCUGACGGAGCAACGCCGAGUGAGUGAUGAAGGUCUUCGGAUCGUAAAACUCUGUUAUUAGGGAAAAACAGAUGUGUAAGUAACUGUGCACAGCGUGACGGUACCUAAUCAGAAAGCCACGGCUAACUACGUG
rnacentral:rRNA from 1 species